UACGGAGGGUGCAAGCGUUAUCCGGAUUCACUGGGUUUAAAGGGAGCGUAGGUGGGUUGGUAAGUCAGUGGUGAAAUCCCCGAGCUUAACUUGGGAACUGCCAUUGAUACUAUCAGUCUUGAAUACUGUGGAGGUUAGCGGAAUAUGUCACGUAGCGGUGAAAUGCUUAGAUAUGACAUAGAACACCAAUUGCGAAGGCAGCUGGCUACACAUAUAUUGACACUGAGGCUCGAAAGCGUGGGGAUCAAACAGG
rnacentral:rRNA from 1 species